rnacentral:lncRNA from 1 species
UAACAAACAGGGGCUUAUUUGUGGAUUUUAUACAAUCGUUUUAGGCCAAUUUUGGUUUUAUCACUCAACAAAUUUACUCUUUAAAUAAUUUUCAAAAAUCGGCUUUUCUGUCUCCAACCAAUAUUUAUCGGUAAUCCAAUCAAAAAAGGAGAGAAAACAUGGGCGAGCCAGAGUGAAAAAGGAAAUGAAAUACUUUUCCAAUCGAGAUAUGAAGAUUUUUGGGAAAUAUAUAUAUCCACGGCAGAUCAUUCUUUUUGCUUCGGGGUAGGUUUUCUCAGCCUUUUUGUUCUCAGUUUCUACUCAGUACACACGAAUUAACAUGUAUUUGAACUCUAAUUACACGGCAGGGUUUUAUUCUUGGCUUCAACAACGUAUGAUGUUCACAGAUCCAUAAAAAACAACGAAACACCACCCACAGAGGAACAAAUCCAAGCUUUGGAAGAUUAUAUCAGGUCCGUUCGUCGCCCUCCUUAAUCAAGCGCGGAAGAUGAUGGUUGAUAAAAUUAUAUGUAUUCCUUCCGGUCUUCAUUUUUUUUUUUUUUGAAGAAGAAGAAUUAUUUUAAAAGGUUUGAACGCGAAGAUAGAGAUAGAGAUAGAGUAGGAUACGUUCUCCUACUGGAUAUAUUUUAGCCACGUUGCACUUAAGAAAGUAUGGUAUCUAAGGAAGACGAUCGAGAAAGGAAAGGGGUAGUGUCAUUCUGUUUUUAUUUUCUUUUCUUUUAAUUAGGUGUCUGUCUUUAAUAAUCUUUAAUUAGUUAUUUCCAUUUACGCGUCUCUUAAUCAUAAUUAGUUAUAGUAAACUUAUAGCUUGUUUGAAUUUUAUUCUCGUACCUUAGUUAUUAUAGUUCACUGAUCAAUUAUUUCAUUAAUUAUGUUGACCUCAUUUUUUGUAUGGAUGACGUGGCUAACAGAUCACUAGUCCUCUCGUAUUCAUGUAAAUCUUUUGUCAUGCACAUUUAGACAAAUCGUAAGUCGCACAUGACCUUCUUGGGUGGCGAAGAGGACGGCAACACGAACUUUGACGAUCAAGUCUAUUCAUGUAUAAAUAAAAGGGGUGUGAGACGUGCUAGAGAUGUGAGUCACUAAGUGUUGAGGGGUCGGAUUCUAAAGGGUUUCAAAUGAAUAUGUAGCGAGUAAGUUUAUUGCUUGAAUGUAUAAAAUUGCAUUACCAGUUAAUGACAUAAUUUGUGAGCUUUUAUAUUAUAAGAGGUAUGAUGUUGAUCGUUGGAUGGAAAGACACAUAGCCGCAUCUUGUGAUUGACAUGUCACUCGAUCCAUCAUAGGGAAAUCCAUUGAUGGAUCUGUAUGGAAGAUCUCCUAGGAUGAUGUGACGUGGAAGAUGCCUUCUGUGUGUGGAGGUUUCUAG